rnacentral:tRNA from 1 species
GGAGAGGUGGCCGAGCGGCUUAAGGCAACGGUUUGCUAAACCGUCGUACUGGGAAUUUCCGGUACCCGGGGUUCGAAUCCCCGCCUCUCCG